AUGGACACACACAACCAUCUCAAAGACGAUCUUCAUUACACCCAAAAUACACAAAAGCUUACAGUGGCACAGCACACAGAGCUCAGAUGGAAGAGGAUGCCAGACCAUGUAAAAACAGGACGCAGUUUGGCCCAGAAGUUUUUUCCUGAGACAUGGGAGGAAGGUUUUCAAUUCAAGCCACAAUUAAAUCACCUGUCCACUGCCCGUGGGAGCUGCGUGAAGUCCCUCUGAGAAAUAAUCUCCAUCUCUAACCAGGGCUGGAGCCCACGAGUGUGUCAGAAGAGACUGUAGAGUGAGUGUUAGAGCUGUCAUAGCUGCUAUUACAGUCAUUCUGAAUGUGUAUGGUCCAUUCUCUGCCUGACUUUUAUAGUUUCAUUUGAAACGGUUUCUUCUGAACUGUCAAUAAAUCACUGACUGAAGGCUCGAAGUACCACAGAGCAGCUCUUCCCAAAAGAAUAUACAGUCUGAUGUGUGUAAAAUGUGAUACAUUGUGUAAUAAAUCACACAAUUCAGUUAAAAAACAAAACAAUUGACAUUAAUACUGUUAAUAUUGCACCCUCAGAUUCCAGAUUUUCAAAUAGUUGUAUCUCGGCCAAAUAUUGUCCUAUCCUAACAAACCAUACAUCAAUGGAAAGCUUAUUUAUUUAUUAAUCAAUUUUAUAAAAUUGACCCUUAUGACUGGUUUUGUGGUCCAGGGUCACAUAUGUAUGUAUAAAUUCACAUUUCUCUUUCAAAACAUGUUUUGUGCAACAAUCAUUUGAAGUGUUUUGUGGCUGAAGGUCAGUUCAAACAGGGCUUUACAGUAAAUAUUACAAAACAG
rnacentral:lncRNA from 1 species